AUUGAACGCUGGCGGCAGGCUUAACACAUGCAAGUCGAGCGAGCGGCGGACGGGUGAGUAAUGUCUGGGGAACUGCCUGAUGGAGGGGGAUAACUACUGGAAACGGUAGCUAAUACCGCAUACCAUCGGAUGAGCCCAGAUGGGAUUAGCUAGUAGGUGGGGUAAAGGCUCACCUAGGCGACGAUCCCUAGCUGGUCUGAGAGGAUGAUCAGCCACACUGGAACUGAGACACGGCCCAGACUCCUACGGGAGGCAGCAGUGGGGAAUAUUGCACAAUGGGCGCAAGCCUGAUGCAGCCAUGCCGCGUGUGUGAAGAAGGCCUUCGGGUUGUAAAGCACUUUCAGCGAGGAGGCGUUACUCGCAGAAGAAGCACCGGCUAACUCCGUGCCAGCAGCCGCGGUAAUUC
rnacentral:rRNA from 1 species